rnacentral:lncRNA from 1 species
AUGUUAAUCACUCUCUUUAACAGCCAUGAAAUUACAAACCAAAUCAUCAUCAUUGUGUUGGAAGGUACCCUAAGACACAAACAAACACACAAAAACAACUCUUUUUGGGUUUUACAAAGCAAUUUUUCAAAUUUUUAUGUGAUUUUCGGAGUUAUAAGUCAGCACACACUAAAACUCACCAAAACAGCCUAACAACACCUAAAAACAGCAAGAAACAACAUUGGGAAGUAUGAGUGAGAAAACCCUACGAAUUUGCAUCAAAACACUUUGGUUACCCCCCCACACUUAAACCAAACAUUGUCCUCAAUGUUUCAAAGCAUAACUAACACAAAAAC